AAGGUUGGAACUAGGGCCUUUCUCUAGGGAGUUUUCCUAGCCACCACGCUUCUACACUGUUUGGGGGUUUAGGCUGGGUUUCUGUACAGCACAUUGUGACAUCAGCUGAUGUCAGAAGGGCUUUAUACAUACAUUUGAUUUGAUUGCUCUAACGGAGUCAAGGCCGCGAUUCAAUCCGAUCACGCCUUGUUCACAAUGCACAGCGUUUUAAAGUCACUGUUCCUAGGCCGUCAUUGAAAAUAAGAAUUUGUUCUUAACUGACUUGCCUAGUUAAAUAAAGGUAAAAAAAAAAAUGUUUUAAAAAAUGUUUAAAUUAGCGGAGACCACAAUUAUGGUAAACACUGCAUUAGUUGACUCAAUCAGGAAAUGACAUGUAAAGGUACCGUUGUCCAAACUGAAUCCCAGCCUUAGACUGAUGUAGCUAGUAGAGAGGUAGCGUUGUCCAAACUGAAUCCCAGCCUUAGACUGAUGUAGCUAGUAGAGAGGUAGCGUUGUCCAAACUGAAUCCCAGCCUUAGACUGAUGUAGCUAGUAGAGAGGUA